AUUGGAAAUUAGCAUCUACUGAUAGUUUGACUGCAUGUUUGGAAAUUAGCAUAUUCUUUCUAUGGGUUCUAGACUUUUGGAUGUAUACAAAUUUGCUCUAUGUUUUGAACUUUUGUAUUGGAUCUUUUCUGGUUAGAA